rnacentral:rRNA from 1 species
CAGUCGCCGCGGUAAUACGUAGGUGACAAGCGUUGUCCGGAAUUAUUGGGCGUAAAGGGCUCGCAGGCGGUUUGCUAAGUCUGAAGUUAAAGGCUGUGGCUCAACCAUAGUUCGCUUUGGAAACUGUCAAACUUGAGUGCAGAAGGGGAGAGUGGAAUUCCAUGUGUAGCGGUGAAAUGCGUAGAUAUAUGGAGGAACACCGGUGGCGAAAGCGGCUCUCUGGUCUGUAACUGACGCUGAGGCUCGAAAGCGUGGGGAGCGAACAGGAUUAGAUACCCCUGUAGUCCCUGUCUCUUAUACA